UCCUUCUUAGCUCAGCUGGUUAGAGCAUCUGACUGUUAAUCAGAGGGUCGCUGGUUCAAGUCCAGCAGAGGGAGCCA
rnacentral:tRNA from 1 species